rnacentral:rRNA from 1 species
AUGAGAGUAAGCAUGGUCGUUGAGGAGGCGGAUGCACGGUACAUAACCAACUCCGGUAUGUUGUUGCAGCUCAAGAUGCUCUCAGAGGCCAUGUACAGAGGAUACCGCGUCUUGGACACCUCGAGGUACCGAACCCUCCAAGACAGUGCAUGCUUCGAUGAGGUUAGCAUCAAAGACUCAUCUAGCAGCAGCAUAUAUUUAGCAAUUCCCCUCAAGCGUUCUCGAACAACAACCGAGAAGGAUGAUAAGGCCAUGUGCCUUGAGUCACUAGGUGCCUUGGAAAGCUUAGAAGUUGCUAUUGCUAACAUGGCAGAAUUUGUUCUGCUUCUGGGUGGAUGCGAGCGCAUGUCUCGUAGGCCAUACGACAUCUAUCUUUACACCGACAACUUUAUGUUCGGACGGCAUGCUGAAAAGCAAAAACUCUUGAGCUUCUUGUUGCAGCACAGACCUGCUGGUGAUGCACCAGCCAUUCUUCCGAUCAUAGGCGGUGCCAAAGUUGGGAAGAAAACUUUGGUUACUCAUGUGUGUGGCGACGAAAGGGUUUGCUCGUGCUUCUCUUCUGUUUUGCACUUGAGUGGCGAUAGUUUUUUGAGGCAUGGAAGGACCAUGUCUGGGAUGAAGACGCUUGUAGUUAUUGAGUUUGCUUCUGAUGUAAGUGAUGAUGACUGGAAAAACUUCCACUCAUUUCUCUUAACAAAGGGCAGAGGAAGCCAUAUCAUCAUCAUAAGUAGAAUUCAAAGAUUAGCCCGAUUUGGAUCUGUGAAACCGAUUUUUCUUAGUGUUCUGUCUUAUGACGAGUGGAGGUACCUAUUCAAGACACUAGCAUUCGGGAGCGUAGAUCCGGCAGAACAUCCACGUCUACUCAAAAUAGCAGAUGAAGUUGCCAGGCAGUUGCACACACAAGGUUCACUUGUCGCAACAAAUGCUUACGCAGAUUUGUUGAGAAGAAAUCUCAAUGCCCAGUUUUGGCAUUGCCUAUUGGACAAGGGGAUAAGAAUGAUUAAAAGAAACAUCGCCAUGUAUGGUGUGCAUCCAAGCAUGCUUAUAGAACAAGGGCACCCGGUGGACAUAACAGACUUUGCUAUGCAUCCACUUAGAAUGAUACCUUAUACGACUAAUGUUUCAAUCAAGAAGGAAUCACCAAGUGUGACAUUUGGGGAGUUGCUAGCGGAUCCUAGUGUUAGACCGAAAGAAGACUUCAUUCUUAUUUCCUGGGAAUCAAGGAUACCCCCUCAUAAUGUAUUUUCUAAUUUUGUUAUAAGUCGUGCUCAGGACACAGAUGAAGGGAGUGCCUUGCCAGGGAGGAAGCGACGAGGUGUGCCAAUUUAA